rnacentral:lncRNA from 1 species
AACCAUUUAUUAUGUAAAUUUUGCACAAAUAGAAAGUCAGAGAAACAUUUUGAUAAUAUUUCCUAAUAUUGUCCAAAGCAUAGCAAAACAAAACAGAUAAAUGUUUUCAUCAAAUAAAUCUCACAAUCAUUCAAAUCCCCAGGAACCAAAUCAUAUCAUAAAAAAAUGAACGAUUCGAGAAUACCCAAAAUGGGUAUUCACAAGAUUACAAAAAACUAAGUAAGAAUUUGAUAAACAUAUACAAAAAUAUUAUAUAAAUGCCAACACACACACCAAACUGAAAAGGAAAAAAAGCUAAAUUAACAAACAUUUAGAGCUUAAUUUUGAUGGUACACCCAAAUAGUAGACACAAACCCGAAGAGUUGUUGUAAUGAGGACCGAGUUUAAAGAUUUCCCACUAGAUUCUUCUGACUCCUCGGAAAAUCUUGCCGAUUUCCUCUUCACUUUUUCUUGGAUUCUUUCUUUUUCUUUGGUUUCUGCGCUCCGGUCCGUCCUCUGAGCUUAGUAUACUACUCCAUUAUAAUUAUAAUUCGUCGAUG